UGUGCCAUCGACCUUAGAGGAGGCCAUGGCUGUUUCUUUGUGGCCAGUUGAACGGCUGGCCUCCGUAACUGCAGGAGUCACCUGAGUGUCUCCAGCCUCCUGUUGGGGAGUGUAGGGUGGGAACUCAGAGACCUGCGAGCAGGUUUGAGUUUCCACAGAUUUCCUUGGUGGUGCCACUCCCCUGCGCACCACUUCGGAGAAAGAUCCUUUCAUUUGAAAUUCGUAUUGUGUCUUUGCAGCUCUGUAAGGAAUGUUUUGUACGGUUUUGAUCUUUAUGAUUUCUUUUUCUUCUUUCCAACGUGGACACGAUCGAGAGUACACCGGGUGGUUGCCCUGGCAGUUGGCACAACGGUACUCAUUGCUGCAAGUCUCUGGCGAAUGGUCUUUGCCAGAGCACUUUGGGCAGGUGGAGUGUCCGCGGCAGACAAGCGAACUGUGCCCAAAAUGCUGGCACUUGAAACAACGUCUUGGGUUUGGAAUGUAUGGUCUGACAUUGCAACUGAGAGACCACGCCCUGCUCACUCAGUCCAUCUUCAAUCUCAGAUUCUGUGCAUUCGAUGAGUUCAUCUUCUGAUAUUACACCUUUGGUUAUGUUCAGUGUGCGGUGUACGUUAACAUUUACAGUGCAGCAGGCGUGUCGCCCACCAUGGAGCCCAACUUGGGGAACGUGCCCCGCACGCUAACACCUACCUCUGCACUAUACCCUAGUGCAGCUUCUGGAGAGUGAAAAGACUGCCCAAGGUUGAC